rnacentral:miRNA from 1 species
UUCUCCUGUAAGAUUAAAAAGUAUUUAGAGCUAGGCACACCUGUAAUCGCAGCACUUGGGAGGCUGAGGCAGGAGGAU